rnacentral:lncRNA from 1 species
GAAUUCCAAAGAGGUAACAUGCAUUGCUAUCGGAGGUCGUUUGACCCCCUAAAUAAUUCGCCGAAGUUGGGACUUCGACACAGUUUUUCCGUAGUGCCGGAAGAAUUUGUCAAAAUCCGAUUCUUCCUAUUUUAACCGCCUCUACAACCCUUAUCCGACCCCUCUAGACUAUAUCCACCCUUUGUAUAGCCUAAUGUCAUCAAAAGACUAGAUAGGAACGGAUAUUUACCUUUUUCUUUUUGGAAAUCGAGGUCCUUGCGUAGAGGGGAAGGAGAUCUACGUUUUUCCCUUCAGCUGGAAGUGCAACCGGGAUCCCUCUCCUCCUCGAAUCUCCUUCCUCUUCUUCUUUCUUCUUCUU